rnacentral:tRNA from 2 species
GGGCCAUUAGCUCAUUUGGUAGAGCGCUUCCAUGGCAUGGAAGAGGUGACCGGUUCGAUUCCGGUAUGGUCCACAA